GAUGAACGCUGGCGGCGUGCCUAAUACAUGCAAGUCGAGCGAACAGACGAGGAGCUUGCUCCUCUGACGUUAGCGGCGGACGGGUGAGUAACACGUGGAUAACCUACCUAUAAGACUGGGAUAACUUCGGGAAACCGGAGCUAAUACCGGAUAAUAUAUUGAACCGCAUGGUUCAAUAGUGAAAGACGGUUUUGCUGUCACUUAUAGAUGGAUCCGCGCCGCAUUAGCUAGUUGGUAAGGUAACGGCUUACCAAGGCGACGAUGCGUAGCCGACCUGAGGGGGUGAUCGGCCACACGGAAGCGAGGACACGGUCCAAACUCCUACGGGAGGCACCGGUAGGAAUUCUACGGGAGGGGGCGAAGGCCUAACGGGCCAACGCGGCGGAAGUGUGAAGGGGCUUCGGAUCGUAAAACAUUGUUGUUGGGGAAUAACAAUGUGUAAGUAACUAUGCACGUCUUGACGGUACCUAAUCAGAAAGCCACGGCUAACUACGUG
rnacentral:rRNA from 1 species